UGGUAAUUAAAGAGUUAGAAUGUUGGAGGUCUUGAGUUUGAAUCCUUGUGUGAGUGUGGAUGUUACAUUUUUGCUCGAUUGUCUGAUGGAGUUUCAGUUGAAUUGAAAGUCUGAACAGGUUGUAAGUUAGUGGGUUAGUGGGAGAAAAAAGGGGGAUUUGGGAUAAUAAUGUUUUAUUCAUUUUUUUCAAAAUUCUCUCUUUCCAGAAAAAAAAAACUAACAUUCUUUUCUCUUCCUCUACCAUUCUCUUCCCAUUUUCUUUUCAACUGGUUUUUUUUCUCAUUUUUUUUCUUUCUUCCUCGUUUGAACAAGAAAAUUGUGAUACCUUGUCGCGAUGUUUCGAAUCUUUGCGUUUAUUCGUUUGCAACUAAUCGAGAAGAUCGUGACUCUAUUCUUGUGGAAUCGUAGUCAAUCAUUUGGAGUGUUGGGGUUUUGGAGGGCUCAUGUUUGCGGUAGCAUCAAAACAGAAACAGGUAAUCUACAAACUUAGGCGGAUCAGUAUAGCGGAGGCUCAGCGGUGACCACUCGACCUAAUACUGAAUAUGCUUAUUAAUUUGUGGCUUUUAUUUAUAAUUUCAAGAUUUGAUUGAGAGUUUGUAAUUUUUUGGACUCUUUGGACUAUAUGGUUUUUAA